rnacentral:rRNA from 1 species
CCUACGGGAGGCAGCAGUGGGGGAUAUUGCACAAUGGGGGGAACCCUGAUGCAGCGACGCCGCGUGGGUGAAGAAGCGCCUCGGCGCGUAAAGCUCUGUCAGCAGGGAAGAAAAUGACGGUACCUGAAGAAGAAGCCCCGGCUAACUACGUGCCAGCAGCCGCGGUAAUACGUAGGGGGCAAGCGUUAUCCGGAUUUACUGGGUGUAAAGGGGGCGCAGACGGCGAUGCAAGCCAGGAGUGAAAGCCCGGGGCCCAACCCCGGGACUGCUCUUGGAACUGCGUGGCUGGAGUGCAGGAGGGGCAGGCGGAAUUCCUGGUGUAGCGGUGGAAUGCGUAGAUAUCAGGAGGAACACCGGUGGCGAAGGCGGCCUGCUGGACUGCAACUGACGUUGAGGCCCGAAAGCGUGGGGAGCAAACAGGAUUAGAUACCCCUGUAGUC